rnacentral:lncRNA from 10 species
CAAAGACUUGGAACCCACCCAAAUGUACAUCAAUGAUAGACUGGAUUAAGAAAAUGUGGCCAAUUACCCAGGUAAAUAUGGGAGCAGAACACCAUGGUGAUUUGAUCCUCUAAGCCUCACCAUCACAGUCAUUUAGGCAGCUCAAAUUAGAAGUCCAGGAUUCAAAACACCUAUGGCUUAUCAUCCCUAAUAUUGAAAAAGGAGAAUAAAAAAUCCACAGCAAGAAAUGAAGUAUUUUUCAAUCCUUCAACUACAAAAAGAGAAAAAUUUGAUCAGCAGAAACAACACAUGAAAUUAACCGCCCAGGUCCACCCAUUCCCUAGGGAAAUAUGUGGCCAGAUUGGCCCCAUUAGUCAUGUAUAAUCACAUAAAUAAGACAUUCAUGCAGGAAGUCACCCUUCACCCCAAAGGAACAGUUAGAUGAGUAACAGCAUUGGUCACUACAGAAAUCCAUUUUUUCUUUCACUGUCCUAAUACACAGUUUUCUUCUUUCUCCUUACUAUUUCCUGUGUUAAAUAUAAGUGUCCGAGGUUGUUUAAUAAUAAAAAAAAAUACCGUGAAACUCUGCUUCAACUAUUCUAAUUUAUUCCCCUACAGUUAAACGUCUGGUAUUUUAAAUCUAUGUCAUUUAUUUACUUGUG